UGCGCAGGCGGAAAAGUAAGUCAGUGGUGAAAUCUCUCGGCUCAACCGAGAAACUGCCAUUGAUACUGCUUAUCUAGAGUUUAGUUGAAGUGGGCGGAAUGUAGCAUGUAGCGGUGAAAUGCAUAGAGAUGCUACAGAACACCGAUUGCGAAGGCAGCUCACUAAGCUAAAACUGACGCUCAGGCACGAAAGCGUGGGGAUCAAACAGGAUUAGAUACCCUGGUAGUC
rnacentral:rRNA from 1 species